GACGAACGCUGGCGGCGUGCCUACUACAUGCAAGUAGAACGCAGUUGCGAACGGGUUAGUAAAGCGUAGGUAACUGCCUCAUAGCGGGGGAUAACUAUUGGAAACGAUAGCUAAUACCGCAUACUGUGACAAGGACCUGUGUUGUAUUAGCUAGGUGGUGGGGUAAAGGCACACCAAGGCGCAGAUACAUAGCCGACCUGAGGGGGUGGUCGGCCAAAAUGGGACUGGGGAACGGCCCAGAAUCCUACGGGAGGCAGCAGGAGGGGAACUUCGGAAAUGGGCGGAAGUCUGACCGAGGAACGCCGGGGGAGUGAAGAAGGGUUUCGGAGCGGAAAGCUCUGUUGUGAGAGGAGCGGUAACUAACCAGAAAGGGACGGCUAACUACGUGCCAGCAGCCGCGGUAAUAC
rnacentral:rRNA from 1 species